GGGGCGAGCCGGGCCUGCGCGGUAGUGGGACCCGACCCUGUCUCCAGUGGGCGUCUUGGGCCCCGGCUCUAUUCUGGGCUGCGGGCCUGGGAAGGGCUCGCCGGGUGCCAAAUGAGCUGUCCUAACUCUGCGGGGCUGCAGCUUCCUGCAUGAUGCUGGGGAGCUUGGCGCCUGACCCAGGAUCUAGAAGGCACUCUGGGCAGGCCGCGCUCCGCCCACGAAGGUACCCAACCCUCUGGGAUAGAUGCAGGAAGCGAUGGUUAAGACCCAUUUUCACCCAACUUCUCGCCGCAGGUCUGGCUUACCACACGCUCCUCCCCAUUCCCAGUGAGCCGCUUUUUGCAGCACCAGGCGAACACUUACACCAGUGCUUUGUAAAGGAAUCUUAUUGUCCACCCCGUGUCUUGGCAAAAGAACAGUGAUCACACAGAUUCCUACUUGGGCUCUUUCCUUUAAUCUUCGGAGGCUGAGUUUGCCCAACUCAGGUUUAACCACCAAGGACUCUGAGAGCUGGCAGGUCUGAGUAACCCUGGUAACAAUUCUCUUCACCUUAUCAAAACCUGAGCUAAAACCAAUGCAUCAGCUGAUGAUGACAGCAGAGAGUGGCAGGGCUGAGGACCCAAAGUCAUUUCCCAGGCUGGCGGAGAGUUUUUUUCUCAGUCAACUGAAUUCUUUUUCUCCACUUUGUUUUGCCACUCUUAAUGCAUGCAUGAGAGGCCCUAAGAUAAUUUCUGAUGGCCUGGGACUCCUUGGGAAAAAAAUGAAAAGGCACCACAGGUUCCAUUUUGGGAGAAACCUCCAUUUUCCUCAUGAAACCGCAGGAAUUAGAGGCAGAUAAACUGCCAGGGAGAAGAAUGAGAAGACAGGAGACAAACUGUUUGGAAAGCUAAAUCUUCCCUCUUAAUGAAUAAAGGUUUUUGCCUUGUCUUAAA
rnacentral:lncRNA from 1 species